rnacentral:rRNA from 1 species
AUUGAACGCUGGCGGCAGGCCUAACACAUGCAAGUCGAGCGGAUGAAGGGAGCUUGCUCCUGGAUUCAGCGGCGGACGGGUGAGUAAUGCCUAGGAAUCUGCCUGGUAGUGGGGGAUAACGUCCGGAAACGGGCGCUAAUACCGCCUACGUCCUGCGGGAGCAAGUGGGGGAUCUUCGGACCUCAUGCUAUCAGAUGAGCCUAGGUCGGAUUAGCUAGUUGGUGGGGUAAAGGCCUACCAAGGCGACGAUCCGUAACUGGUCUGAGAGGAUGAUCAGUCACACUGGAAGGGAGACAGGGUCCUGACGCCUACGGGAGGCAGCAGUGUGGAAUAUUAGGCAGUGGGCGAAAGCCUGAUCCAGCCAUGCCGCGUGUGUGAAGAAGGUCUUCGGAUUGUAAAGCACUUUAAGUUGGGAGGAAGGGCAGUAAGUUAAUACCUUGCUGUUUUGACGUUACCAACAGAAUAAGCACCGGCUAACUUCGUG